UGCCCUACAGUUCCCCACUCGGGAACAAGGAGCUGGUAUCAGGCACAUAAAUUUUAGCCCACGACACCUUGCUUAGCCACACCCCCAAGGGAACUCAGCAGUGAUAAACAUUAAGCCAUAAGUGAAAACUUGACUUAGUCAAAGCCAAGAGGGCCGGUAAAACUCGUGCCAGCCACCGCGGUUAUACGAGUGGCCCAAGUUGACAGACACUCGGCGUAAAACGUGGCUAGGCUAAACACUCAAACUAAAGCCGAACACCUUCUAAGCUGUGAUACGCAAUCGAAGGCAGGAAGCCCCACCACGAAAGUGGCUUUAACCUGAGCUGAACCCACGAAAGCUAGGGAACAAACUGGGAUUAGAUACCCCACUAUGCCUAGCCGUAAACACUGAUAGCACCCCACACCCGCUAUCCGCCCGGGAACUACGAGCAACAGCUUGAAACCCAAAGGACUUGGCGGUGCUUUAGACCCACCUAGAGGAGCCUGUUCUAGAACCGAUAAUCCCCGUUCAACCUCACCCCUCCUUGUUUUACCCGCCUAUAUACCGCCGUCGUCAGCUUACCCUGUGAAGGUCCAAUAGUAAGCAGCCCUGGUACUACCUAAAACGUCAGGUCGAGGUGUAGCGUACGGAGGGGGAAGAAAUGGGCUACAUUCACUACAACAGUGAACACGAAUGAUGUGCUGAAACGCACAUCUGAAGGAGGAUUUAGCAGUAAGCAG
rnacentral:rRNA from 1 species